UUGCCGGCGAGCGGCGGACGGGUGAGUAAUGCCUGGGAAAUUGCCCAGUCGAGGGGGAUAACAGUUGGAAACGACUGCUAAUACCGCAUACGCCCUACGGGGGAAAGCAGGGGACCUUCGGGCCUUGCGCGAUUGGAUAUGCCCAGGUGGGAUUAGCUAGUUGGUGAGGUAAUGGCUCACCAAGGCGACGAUCCCUAGCUGGUCUGAGAGGAUGAUCAGCCACACUGGAACUGAGACACGGUCCAGACUCC
rnacentral:rRNA from 1 species